GACGAACGCUGGCGGCGUGCUUAACACAUGCAAGUCGAACGAUGAUGCCAGCUUGCUGGUGGAUUAGUGGCGAACGGGUGAGUAACACGUGAGCAACCUGCCCCUGACUUCGGGAUAACCGCGGGAAACCGUGGCUAAUACCGGAUAUGACGCGCUAUCGCAUGGUGGUGUGUGGAAAGAUUUAUCGGUUGGGGAUGGGCUCGCGGCCUAUCAGCUUGUUGGUGGGGUGAUGGCCUACCAAGGCGACGACGGGUAGCCGGCCUGAGAGGGUGACCGGCCACACUGGGACUGAGACACGGCCCAGACUCCUACGGGAGGCAGCAGUGGGGAAUAUUGCACAAUGGGCGCAAGCCUGAUGCAGCGACGCCGCGUGCGGGAUGACGGCCUUCGGGUUGUAAAACUCUUUCAGUAGGGAAGAAGGCCUUCGGGUUGACGGUACCUGCAGAAGAAGCGCCGGCUAACUACGUG
rnacentral:rRNA from 1 species